CCAGUUUGAAUUACAGAGAAGGAAAUGGGACUGACCAGUUGUCAGCAUUCUUGAUGCCCCUACAGAAUGUUCCUGCCCAGUUGUCUGGAAGCUAGAUGUAACUUGGAGGAUAUGUGCUCAUUUUAUUUUAUGAGGAUGCUGAGCCAUUUUGUGGAGCAUUAUCACACACAGACUGCUGGCUUGGUAUCCAGUGGAUAGCCCUUUUAACAUGCCUGGAAACAAGUUGUAUCUUGUCCUGAUGUAGCUGUCAUUGCUUGUCCAUGUGCGUGAAAACUUGCAGAAUGAGCAUCAGCAACUUGGAAUAAGAUUCCAGAGACAGUGUUGCACAACCAUCCCUCUUGAUGACAUAGAUGACAGUAUCUUGUGGGAAAACACGGUCACCCGCGACUUUGUGUUGAAAAUAUUUUGAAAGGGGACUUGGAAUGUGAGUAAGGUUCAGGGACACCUUAACCAGCUUGUUUGGCUUACAUUUUCAUUUGCAUAAAAAUGAGAUAAAAACUUAUACUUCAACAAGUACUAAAAAGCCAUUUCAGUAAGUACGUUGUACAAGUUCCAAGUUACAGAAAACAUUGUGUUAUAACUCAUGUAGUGGUAUUUUUUCCUUUCUCUGUGGUACAUAAAAUAAUGGCAUCCUUACAAGCAUUAUGGUGUCAUGAUUCCAAAAUGGACAUAGAUCGUGGGAUUAUAGAAUUUUUGAAUUGCUGAUUUUAAAGAGGUUUUUGUUGUUAUGUUUUUUAAAGGGGCGAUAUGAAUCGUAUCAUAUCAAAGGGAGCAUUAAAGCAUUUCUCAGAGAGACUGAAAAGUAAGAUUUAAAAAGAUUGAAUAUUUCCUUUCAUUCUCCUAAAUAACAUUCUUUUUGAGAACUACUUCCAAAUAUGUUCUUUAAAAUCGAACUUCAAAGUCUCACUUUGAGCCAUGAGUAAACUACUUUGUUUCAUUUAUUAUAGACAAUCAUCUUUGAG